CAGUAGCCGCGGUAAUACAGAGGAUGCAAGCGUUAUCCGGAAUGAUUGGGCGUAAAGCGAGCGCAGGCGGUUAGAUAAGUCUGAAGUUAAAGGCUGUGGCUUAACCAUAGUACGCUUUGGAAACUGUUUAACUUGAGUGCAGAAGGGGAGAGUGGAAUUCCAUGUGUAGCGGUGAAAUGCGUAGAUAUUAGGAAGAACACCAGUGGCGAAGGCGACUUUCUGGACGAAAACUGACGCUGAGGCGCGAAAGCCAGGGGAGCGAACGGGAUUAGAUACCCCUGUAGUCCCUGUCUCUUAUACA
rnacentral:rRNA from 1 species